rnacentral:rRNA from 1 species
AUGGUAGUGGUCUCCUUGUUUACAGUUAUAAGAAUAAUAAAAAUAUUUAUAAUGUUCUUUUCACUAUUACAAUCUCAUAGAUUACAUUACCUGCUUCCAUUAGAAAGGAACUGUGGCUCAUGGGUUUACUGGAUGAUCUUUUUGAUAGACAUUUUAAAAAUAGCAUGGUUUAACACAUGGGCUUUCUAUUACGAGUAUUGA